rnacentral:tRNA from 1 species
GGGCGACUAGCUCAGUUGGUUAGAGCAUCUGCCUUACAAGCAGGAGGUCGGGAGUUCGAGUCUCUCGUCGCCCA